rnacentral:rRNA from 1 species
ACGGAGGGUCCAAGCGUUAUCCGGAUUUAUUGGGUUUAAAGGGUGCGUAGGCGGGAUUUUAAGUCCGUGGUGAAAUCCUGCAGCUUAACUGUAGAAUUGCCAUGGAAACUGAAGUUCUUGAAUGUAGCUGAAGUGGGCGGAAUGUGUCAUGUAGCGGUGAAAUGCAUAGAUAUGACACAGAACACCAAUUGCGAAGGCAGCUCACUAAACUAUUAUUGACGCUGAGGCACGAAAGCGUGGGGAGCGAACAGG